rnacentral:rRNA from 1 species
UACGAAGGGGGCUAGCGUUGCUCGGAAUCACUGGGCGUAAAGGGUGCGUAGGCGGGUCUUUAAGUCAGGGGUGAAAUCCUGGAGCUCAACUCCAGAACUGCCUUUGAUACUGAAGAUCUUGAGUCUGGGAGAGGUGAGUGGAACUGCGGGUGUAGAGGUGAAAUUCGUAGAUAUUCGCAAGAACACCAGUGGCGAAGGCGGCUCACUGGCCCGGUACUGACGCUGAGGCACGAAAGCGUGGGGAGCAAACAGG